AGUGCUGGGAUUACAAGCGUGAGCCACCGCGCCCGGCUACUUUUUUUUUUUUCUUUUUGAGACAGUGUCUCACUCUGUAGCCCAGACUGGAGUGCAGUGGCGCAAUCUUGGCUCACUGCAAGCUCCGCCUCCCGGGUUCACACCAUUCUCCUGCCUCAGCCUCCCGAGUAGCUGGGACUACAGGCACCCCCCACCAAGCCCGGCUAAUUUUUUUUUGUAUUUUCAGUAGAGACGGGGUUUCACUGUGUUAGCCAGGAUGGUCUCGAUCUCCUGACCUCACGAUCUGCCUGCCUCAGCCUCCCAAAGUUCUGGGAUUAUAGGCGUGAGCCACUGAGCCCAGCCGUGCCUGGCUAACUUUUGUAGUUUUAGUAGAGACGGGGUUUCACCAUCUUGGCCAGGCUGGUCUUGAACUCCUGACCUCGUGAUCCACCCGCCUUGGUCUCCCAAAGUGCUAGGAUUACAGGUGUGAGCCACCGCGCCUGGCCCCCUAUACCUAUUUUAUCUGAAUUUUAUUAUGAGUUGGUGUUGAAUCUUGUCAAAUACUUUUUUCUGAAAUUAAUUGACAUGAUUUUUUUCUUUUAGCCUUUUAUUACAGUAGACUACAUUGAUUAAUUUUCAAAUACCAAAUCAGCUACUUAUCCUUGGAAUAAACCCCACUUCGUCAUGUUGUGUAAUUCUCAUAUGUUGAUUAAUUCUAUUUGCUAAUAUUUUGUUAAGGAUUUUGCAUCUUUAUUUAUGAUGGGUAUUGUUUGGCAGUUUUCUCCUUUUUUGUGCGUGCUUCCUUUGGUUUUGGUGUCAGAGUAAAUACUAACUUCUUAAAAUGAUUAAGCAAUGUUCUUUUCUAUUUUCUGAAAGAGUUUGGGUAGGAUUGGUGUUAAUUAUUAUUAUUAUUUUUUUUUUCUUGAGACGGAGUCUUGCUGUGUCACCCCCGCUGGAGUGCAGUGGCAUGAUCUCGGCUCACUGCAAUCUCUGCCUCCUGGGUUCAAGUGAUUCUCCUGCCUCAGUCUCCCUAGUAGCUGGGAUUAUAGGCGCGUACCAGCAUGCCCAGCUAAUUUUUGUAUUUUUAGUACAGACGGGUUUUCACAAUGUUGGCCAGGAUGGUCUCGAUCUCUUGACCUUGUGAUCCACCAGCCUUGGCCUCCCAAAGUGCUGGAAUCACAGGCGUGAGCCACCUUGCCUGGCAGUGUUAAUUAUUUUUUAACUGGUAGAAUUCUCUAGUGACAUCAUUUGAGUCUGGAGACUUCUUGUUUGUGAUUUUUUUAUUACAAAUUUAAUGUUCUUAAUAGCCAUAAGGCUGUUCUUAUUAUCCAUUUCAUAUUGGAUGAAUUGUGGUAGAUUACUUUCUUUUUUUGAGGAAUUGGUCCAUUUCAUCUAAGUUGUUGAAUUUAUGUAGAACUGGUUUUAGUAUUUCCUUACUAUCUUUUUAAUGUGUAUAGAAUAUAUAUCCCCCAUUUCUUUCUUUUUUUUCUUUUUUUUUUUUUUGAGACAGUCUCACUCUGUCGCCCAGGCUGCAGUGUAGUGGCACAAUCUCAGCUCACUGCAACCUCCAACUCCUGAAUUAAAGUGAUUCUCCUGCCUCAGCUUCUCCCAAGUACCUGGGAUUACAGGCACCCACCACCAUGCCCAGCUAAUUUUUUUAUUUUUAGUAGAGAUGGGGUUUCACCAUAUUGGUCAGGCUGGUCUCGAACUCCUUACCUCAGGUGAUCCACCUGCCUUGGCCUCCCAAAGUGCUGGGAUUACAGGUGUGAGCCAUCGUGCCCGGCCAAUUUAAACAUCUUUAAGGAAACACAUCAAAAUGUAACUAGAGGUUGUUUCUAGAUAAUGGGACCAUGAGGAUUUCUAUUUCUUCUUUGGCAUAUUUGUAUUUUCCACUUUUUUCUAUAAUGAACAUCUAUUGUUAAAACAGGGCCUUGUUGUCACCCAGACUGGAGAGCAAUGGUGUGAUCUACCUCACUGUAACCUCAAACUCCUGGGCUUAAGGGAUCCUCCUGCCUCAGCUUCCUGAGUGGCUAGGACUACAGGCAAGCAGAUUCAUUCUCAUAGAAGGGCAUCAGAGGAAGAUAAAGAAGCAUCCUCAAUGUCAGACAUCUGAGCCCGAGCUAAGCCAUCAUAACCCCUGUGACCUGCACAUAUACAUGCCCCACUCCAACUAAUCGAUCGACCUUGUGACAUUCCUCCUCUGGACAAUGAGUCUCAUGAUCUCCCAACCCUGCACCUUGUGACCCCUCCCCUGCCCACAAGAGAUAACCACCUUUAACUGUACUU